CUUCCAGUAGCACCUUAGAGACCAACUAGGUUGGUCAGAUACAAACUUCAGAUACAAACUUAGUUGCUCUCUAAGGUGCUACUGGAAG